AGAGUUUGAUCCUGGCUCAGAGCGAACGCUGGCGGCAGGCCUAGCACAUGCAAUCGGACGAACUCUUCGGAGUUAGUGGCGGACGGGUGAGUAACGCGUGGGAACGUGCCUUUAGGUUCGGAAUAACUCAGGGAAACUUGUGCUAAUACCGAAUGUGCCCUUCGGGGGAAAGAUUUAUCGCCUUUAGAGCGGCCCGCGUCUGAUUAGCUAGUUGGUGAGGUAAAGGCUCACGAAGGCGACGAUCAGUAGCUGGUCUGAGAGGAUGAUCAGCCACAUUGGGACCGAGACACGGCCCAAACUCCUACGGGAGGCAGCAGUGGGGAAUCUUGCGCAAUGGGCGAAAGCCUGACGCAGCCAUGCCGCGUGAAUGAUGAAGGUCUUAGGAUUGUAAAAUUCUUUCACCGGGGACGAUAAUGACGGUACCCGGAGAAGAAGCCCCGGCUAACUUCGUGCCAGCAGCCGCGGUAAU
rnacentral:rRNA from 1 species